UCUGAUUAGCUAGUUGGUAGGGUAAAAGCCUACCAAGGCAUCGAUCAGUAACUGGUCUGAGAGGAUGACCAGUCACACUGGGACUGAGACACGGCCCAGACUCCUACGGGAGGCAGCAGUGGGGAAUUUUCCGCAAUGGGCGAAAGCCUGACGGAGCAAUACCGCGUGAGGGAGGAAGGCUCUUGGGUUGUAAACCUCUUUUCUCAGGGAAGAACAAAAUGACGGUACCUGAGGAAUCAGCAUCGGCUAACUCCGUGCCAGCAGCCGCGGUAAUACGGAGGAUGCAAGCGUUAUCCGGAAUGAUUGGGCGUAAAGCGUCCGCAGGUGGCUGCUUCAAGUCUGCUGUCAAAGCUCAGGGCUUAACCCUGAAUCGGCGGUGGAAACUGAACAGCUAGAGUGCGGUAGGGGUAGAGGGAAUUCCCAGUGUAGCGGUGAAAUGCGUAGAGAUUGGGAAGAACACCAGUGGCGAAAGCGCUCUGCUGGACCGCAACUGACACUCAUGGACGAAAGCUAGGGGAGCGAAUGGGAUUAGAUACCCCAGUAGUCCUAGCCGU
rnacentral:rRNA from 1 species